CCCUUAGAUGUUCUGGGCCGCACGCGUGCUACACUGAGUGGAUCAGCGGGUCAGGUUGCGCGAAAGCGUUUCCUAAUCUUUAAAUCCGCUCGUGAUGGGGAUUGACGGUUGCAAUUUUCUGUCAUGAACGAGGAAUAUCUUGUAAGCGCGGGUCAUCAUCCCGCGCUGAAUACGUCCCUGCCCUUUGUACACACCGCCCGUCGCACCUACCGAUUGGAUGGUCCGGUGAAGCCUCGGGAUUGUGGUUCUUGCCGCUUUAUUGUGGCGUGACCGCGAGAACUUGUCUAAACCUUAUCAUCUAGAGGAAGGUGAAGUCGUAACA
rnacentral:rRNA from 1 species